rnacentral:rRNA from 1 species
AUUGAACGCUGGCGGCAGGCUUAACAUAUGCAAGUCGAGCGGUAACAGGGGAGAGCUUGCUCUUUUGCUGACGAGCGGCGGACGGGUGAGUAAUGCCUGGGGAUCUAGCUGAUGGAGAGGGAUAACCACUGGAAACGGUGGCUAAUACCACAUAACGUUGAGAAACCAAAGGGUGGGACCGCAAGGCCACCCGCCAUGAGAUGAACCCAGGUGGGAUUAGCUAGUAGGUAGGGUAAGGGCCUACCUAGGCGACGAUCUCUAGCUGGUCUGAGAGGAUGGCCAGCCACACUGGGACUGAGACACGGCCCAGACUCCUACGGGAGGCAGCAGUGGGGAAUAUUGCACAAUGGGCGCAAGCCUGAUGCAGCCAUGCCGCGUGUGUGAAGAAGGCCUUCGGGUUGUAAAGCACUUUCGGUUGGGAGGAAGGUUAUUUAUUUAAUAGAUAGAUGAUUUGACGUUACUAACAGAAGAAGCACCGGCAAACUCCGUGCCAGCAGCCGCAGUAA